GACCGCGUAGCUCAGCUGGCAGAGCAUUGGGCUAGUAUUCCGAAGGUCGUAGGUUCGAUUCCCACCGUGGCCA
rnacentral:tRNA from 1 species